rnacentral:rRNA from 1 species
GACGAACGCUGGCGGCGUGCCUAAUACAUGCAAGUCGAGCGGACUUGACAGAGCUUGCUCUGUUCAAGUUAGCGGCGGACGGGUGAGUAACACGUGGGCAACCUGCCCUGCAGAUUGGGAUAACUCCGGGAAACCGGGGCUAAUACCGAAUAACAUUGGGAACCUCAUGGUUUCCUUUUAAAAGGCGGCUUCGGCUGUCACUGCAGGAUGGGCCCGCGGCGCAUUAGCUAGUUGGUGAGGUAACGGCUCACCAAGGCGACGAUGCGUAGCCGACCUGAGAGGGUGAUCGGCCACACUGGGACUGAGAUACGGCCCUGACUCCUACGGGAGGAAGCAGUAGGGAAUCUUCCGCAAUGGACGAAAGUCUGACGGAGCGACACCGCGUGGAGGACGAAGGCCUUCGGGUUGUAAACUCCUUUUCCAGGGGAAGAAUAAGGGUAAGAGGAAAUGCUUAUCCGAUGACGGUACUCUGGGAAUAAGCCACGGCUAACUCUGUGCCAGCCGCCGCAGUAACAC